rnacentral:rRNA from 1 species
AACGAACGCUGGCGGCAUGCCUAACACAUGCAAGUCGAACGAGACCUUCGGGUCUAGUGGCGCACGGGUGCGUAACGCGUGGGAAUCUACCCUUGGGUUCGGAAUAACUCAGAGAAAUUUGAGCUAAUACCGGAUGAUGUCGCAAGACCAAAGAUCUAUCGCCCAAGGAUGAGCCCGCGUAGGAUUAGCUUGUUGGUGAGGUAAAAGCUCACCAAGGCGACGAUCCUUAGCUGGUCUGAGAGGAUGAUCAGCCACACUGGGACUGAGACACGGCCCAGACUCCUACGGGAGGCAGCAGUGGGGAAUAUUGGACAAUGGGCGAAAGCCUGAUCCAGCAAUGCCGCGUGAGUGAUGAAGGCCUUAGGGUUGUAAAGCUCUUUUACCCGGGAUGAUAAUGACAGUACCGGGAGAAUAAGCCCCGGCUAACUCCGUGCCAGCAGCCGCGGUAAU